AUGCUCACUUCAGAAGCACAUAUACUAAAAUUGAAAUGAUUGAGAGAAAAUUGACAUGGCUUCUGCAUAAGGAUGAUACACAAAUUCGUGAAGCAUUCCAUAUGUUU